UACGGAAGGCAGCAGUGGGGAAUAUUGCACAAUGGGCGCAAGCCUGAUGCAGCCAUGCCGCGUGUAUGAAGAAGGCCUUCGGGUUGUAAAGUACUUUCAGCGGGGAGGAAGGCGAUGCGGUUAAUAACCGCGUCGAUUGACGUUACCCGCAGAAGAAGCACCGGCUAACUCCGUGCCAGCAGCCGCGGUAAUACGGAGGGUGCAAGCGUUAAUCGGAAUUACUGGGCGUAAAGCGCACGCAGGCGGUCUGUUAAGUCAGAUGUGAAAUCCCCGGGCUUAACCUGGGAACUGCAUUUUGAAACUGGCAGGCUUGAGUCUUGUAGAGGGGGUAGAAUUCCAGGUGUAGCGGUGAAAUGCGUAGAGAUCUGGAGGAAUACCGGGUGGCGAAGGCGGCCCCUGGGACAAAGACUGACGCUCAGGGUGCGAAAGCGUGGGGAGCAAACGAGGAUUAGGAUACC
rnacentral:rRNA from 1 species